rnacentral:tRNA from 2 species
GUCCCAGUAGCUCAGUUGGACAGAGCGGGUGCCUUCUAAGCACUAGGCCGCGGGUUCGAAUCCUGCCUGGGACGCCA